CUCACCGCGUGUACUGGUCCGGCCGGGCCUUUCCCUCUGUGGAACCCCAUGCCCUUCACUGGGUGUGGCGGGGAAACAGGACUUUUACUGUGAAAAAAUUAGAGUGCUCCAGGCAGGCCUAUGCUCGAAUACAUUAGCAUGGAAUAAUAGAAUAGGACGUGUGGUUCUAUUUUGUUGGUUUCUAGGACCGCCGUAAUGAUUAAUAGGGACAGUCGGGGGCAUCAGUAUUCAAUUGUCAGAGGUGAAAUUCUUGGAUUUAUUGAAGACUAACUACUGCGAAAGCAUUUGCCAAGGAUGUUUUCAUUAAUCAGGAACGAAAGUUAGGGGAUCGAAGACGAUCAGAUACCGUCGUAGUCUUAACCAUAAACUAUGCCGACUAGGGAUCGGACGGUGUUAUUUUUUGACCCGUUCGGCACCUUACGAGAAAUCAAAGUGCUUGGGCUCCAGGGGGAGUAUGGUCGCAAGGCUGAAACUUAAAGAAAUUGACGGAAGGGCACCACCAGGGGUGGAGCCUGCGGCUUAAUU
rnacentral:rRNA from 1 species